UACGGAGGAUGCGAGCGUUAUCCGGAUUUAUUGGGUUUAAAGGGUGCGUAGGCGGAUCGUUAAGUCAAUGGUCAAAUUGAGGGGCUCAACCCCUUCCCGCCAUUGAAACUGGCGAUCUUGAGUGGAAGAGAAGUAUGCGGAAUGCGUGGUGUAGCGGUGAAAUGCAUAGAUAUCACGCAGAACCCCGAUUGCGAAGGCAGCAUGCCGGCUUCCUACUGACGCUGAAGCACGAAAGCGUGGGGAUCGAACAGG
rnacentral:rRNA from 1 species